GGUCAUUAGAGCAUCCCAACCGUUUUGCAUAAUUGGUUUGGCAAAUGAGAGAGUUUGCCAAGUCUCAAAAAAAAAUAUGGUAAAGGUGAAAAGAGGCAAUCUGCAAUGGUUUAGCAUCUAUCACUUGGCAAAAAAAAGAAAAUUAUGGACCCACAUAAUUUUUUUGUCGAGCUUUUCUCCUCACCGCGCGUCAGUGAAUAUUCGCGGCAAAUUUAUUCCCGCCGAGGCGCUGAGGUAGCGGCGUUUGUGCAUGGCCGCUCAGAGUUUGGCGGUUGGAGUCUUUGCCGGCAAAAACGAUCCGAAUGGCAUUGAUGGAGUACCCGACGUUGAUGGAAGACCGAUAGGCAAAAACACAAACAAUUGGGAGGGCAUCGUUGGAGUACCUAGUGUUGAUAGAAGACCGAUGGACAGUUCACAGGAAAGUCUGCCGGCGGGAUGUCGCCAAACUCGCGCGACCUCAACCCGUAGCCGCGCGCGGACUUCGCGCCAGUUUUCCAAUGCCAAGUGUGAACAGGCUUGGCAUAUAUGCCAAUUCUUUCCCUCUUUUUACUAAGUUAAUAAAAUUGCAAAAUCCAAAUGCCAAACCGUUGGAUAGGUGUUUUUAAGAUUUUUUUUUGCAAAUACAUGAAUGCAAAGCCUAUUUGCAAAACGGUUGGGGAUGCUCUUACUGAUUGCUAUUUACAAAGGUGGUUAGAAUGCCCAUCUCUAAAAAUUGAUUAACGGAUGGCUUUAGGCUCCGAAAAUUGAUUUUUAGAGACACUUGGAUCCAUUAAUAGUUUCUAGAAAGCCAAAAAACAAAAAAUCAAGCGGUUCGAACAUGGAAAUCGGUCUUAAGAGGCUCCGCCUCUGUUAAUGGUUUCAGAAAACAAAUAAUCAAGUGCAAUCCGCCUCCAUAGGGUACUAGAAAACAAAAAAUAAAAAAAAUAAUCAUUUCUCAAGACUCAAAUCUGCGGACCAAUGAUUCAACAAUAACAUCUUCUUACCAUUACAUCACACAAUCAAUUGUGAGUACAUAUAUGAUUCUAUCAUUUAUAUAAAUAUUUUAUAAUCUUGUAUGGACUAUUUUGUUUAUUAAGUGAAUUCAAAUGAAAAAAGUUUUCAUUAUAAAGUUUUAAAUCUUGUCAAACACUACCACGGAUGGGGACGAGGUUCCCGAUCGUCAGGUUCAAGAUAAUAUCGAAUUUGGUCGGAAGCGACACAUCGAUCCGACUUUAGAUCACAAAGACUCGAACCCUGCAACUUUAGCUCCACGUCUCCUCUGGUUAUCAAUCGUGUCACAAUCCAGUUGACCUUGCCACGAAUGCUAAUCCCAGCUGUGAAUCGAAGAACACAAGUAAGAACAAGAUAAACACAACUCGAAUUGAAGUGACAUUACAGAUAUAUGAUUAAGCACUUAAAGUUAGGGUCUCGCAAGCCGAUAAUGGUGACUGGACAGAUUGACCUAAAGCAAAACUAAAACCCUAAUAUAGGUGGCGGUUACUGAUUAUAUAGUCUAAGGGGUGUCCAAGGACACCUCUUCACAUCCAUAAGGUGCCCCAACACAUUACAAGGUCCAAUGACCCAAAAGACAGC
rnacentral:lncRNA from 1 species